rnacentral:lncRNA from 1 species
AUUGGUACUGGAAAAUGUAAUAUCAAUUGGGAUAUUUUAUAUUACUACUUGAUAUUAUAUAUUAUUUAUAUAUAUUAUAUAGUAUUUUGUGUGGUGGAAAAAAAAAAGAAAAAAAGGAUAAGAAGUAGUAGGAAGAGAUAAGAAUGGAAGAGAGAGUUAUCAGAAAGGGAAAAGAAGAGAAAGAGAAAGAAAGAGGAAUA